GGAAACUGGGAUGAAACCUGAUGGCCAAAUGUUUCUGGGAGUCUUCCAUGCUUGUAGUGUUGUUGGUGAUAUAGUUGAGGGCAUGUUGCACUUUGAAUCAAUGAGUAAGGAUUAUGACAUUGAUCUAUCCAUGGAACAAUAUGUUGGAGCGGUGGAUAUGUUGGGAAGUACGGGAUAUCUUGAUGAAGCUAUGGAGUUCAUUGAAAGGAUGCCUAUAGAGCCA
rnacentral:misc_RNA from 1 species